ACUGUGUAGGGUUUUUGUCAAAUGAUUAAGAAACAGACUCUCUGUCACAUAAGACAGAAAGGUUGUAUCUUAAAAGAAAAGUCUUCAAAAUUUGGAGGCGCCUGAUAUCAACGUGAAACGCACUGCAGUACUUCGUGCCCUUCCUGUAUACCUGUGGGAGGAGGACCCAGAAUUCUUUUAGACAUGUAAUGCGGACGCAUUGGAUGAGUCGACCCUCAUUGACCCUCCAGUUGCCCUUCUCACUGUGGUUACCGACAGCGCUUCCCAGUCCAGUCCAUUUUACUUCCUCAAGCAUGGCUGUUGUGGUGAAAGGCGACUAGCACUCCUGCUGUUGGACAGAAAGACAUCAUGGAACAAUGGAGCUUCAGGAUAUGCAGAGGCGUCAAACGGCUGCUGGCUAUGUCCAAAUGAUGCAGAGAGACUGAGGGCCCUCGUCUGUGUGGUAACGACUGGGUUUUUCAACAGGACAACGCUACAGUACACAAUGCUGCAGGACAAAGGACUUCUUCCAGGAGAAUAACAUCACUCUGUUGGACCAUCCUGCGUCUUUCCCUGAUCUAAAUCCAACUGAGAAAGGACAACAGUUCCCGACAGUAGACGCCAUUCGUGUGGCCAGCUUCACCACUUGGAGAAAUGUUCCCACUCAUCUUAUGGAAACGCUUGCAUGAAGUGAUCAACAAUAACAGCGAUACUGAGUUCAAGUUUGGAACUUUGAUUUCUGUUUUGGGGGUUUACCCAUGUUUUUUGGAGGUGUGGUCCUAAAAUGUUGAUCAGCUGUAAAACAGCCUGUUUCAGUUUAAGCUUUUUUAAUAAAUUACAUGCUCAAUGUUUUUCUGCACUCAGAUUUCUUCUCUUUGCCUGCUGAAGCUCUACUUGGAACCUUGUUAAGAUGAUGUUUUUGCCAUUUUUUAAACGGUCUUAAACUUUUGAUCAGGAUUGUAAAACCUAAAACUAAUAGCAAUUUGUUUUCUUCAGCCACAUACAUCACAGUGGACCAACAAUGCAGUCUGUGUUCAGACAGGUUUUGAGCAAUAACAAAAGUAGCUUAUAGGGAGUGCAGAAUUAUUAGGCAAGUUGUAUUUUUGAGGAAUAAUGUUAUUAUUGAACAACAACCAUGUUCUCAAUGAACCCAAAAAACUCAUUAACAUCAAAGCUGAAUGUUUUUG
ensembl:lncRNA